GACGAACGCUGGCGGCGUGCUUAACACAUGCAAGUCGAACGGUGAAGGGAUCAGCUUGCUGGUUCUGGAUGAGUGGCGAACGGGUGAGUAACACGUGAGUAACCUGCCCCCUUCUUCUGGAUAACCGCAUGAAAGUGUGGCUAAUACGGGAUAUUCUGCGCCUGCUGCACGGUGGGUGUGGGAAAGAUAUUGUUUCGGUGGGGGAUGGGCUCGCGGCCUAUCAGCUUGUUGGUGGGGUGAUGGCCUACCAAGGCGGUGACGGGUAGCCGGCCUGAGAGGGUGGACGGUCACACUGGGACUGAGACACGGCCCAGACUCCUACGGGAGGCAGCAGUGGGGAAUAUUGCACAAUGGGCGCAAGCCUGAUGCAGCGACGCCGCGUGAGGGAUGGAGGCCUUCGGGUUGUGAACCUCUUUCGCCAGUGAAGCAGGCCUGUCCCUUGUGGGUGGGUUGACGGUAGCUGGAUAAGAAGCGCCGGCUAACUACGUG
rnacentral:rRNA from 1 species